UACGAAGGGGGCUAGCGUUGCUCGGAAUCACUGGGCGUAAAGCGCACGUAGGCGGCUUUCUAAGUCAGGGGGUGAAAUCCUGGAGCUCAACUCCAGAACUGCCUUUGAUACUGGAGAGCUUGAGUCCGGGAGAGGUGAGUGGAACUCCGAGUGUAGAGGUGAAAAUUCGUAGAUAUUCGGAAGAACACCAGUGGCGAAGGCGGCUCACUGGCCCGGUACUGACGCUGAGGUGCGAAAGCGUGGGGAGCAA
rnacentral:rRNA from 1 species